rnacentral:rRNA from 1 species
UACGAAGGGGGCUAGCGUUGCUCGGAAUUACUGGGCGUAAAGGGAGCGUAGGCGGAUAGUUCAGUCAGAGGUGAAAGCCCAGGGCUCAACCUUGGAAUUGCCUUUGAUACUGGCUGUCUUGAGUAUGGGAGAGGUUAGCGGAACCUCCGAGUGUAGAGGUGAAAUUCGUAGAUAUUCGGAAGAACACCAGUGGCGAAGGCGGCUAACUGGCCCAUUACUGACGCUGAGGCUCGAAAGCGUGGGGAAGCAAAC